rnacentral:rRNA from 1 species
GACGAACCGAGCGAACGUUGUUCGGAAUCACUGGGCUUAAAGGGCGCGUAGGCGGGUGCUCAAGUCCGUGGUGAAAUCCUCCGGCUCAACCGGAGAACUGCCUCGGAUACUGGGUGCCUCGAGGGUGGUAGGGGUAUGCGGAACUAUCGGUGGAGCGGUGAAAUGCGUUGAUAUCGAUAGGAACUCCGGUGGCGAAGGCGGCAUACUGGACCACCUCUGACGCUGAGGCGCGAAAGCCAGGGGAGCAAACAGG